GAUGAACGCUAGCGGGAGGCCUAACACAUGCAAGCCGAGCGGUAUUGUUUCUUCGGAAAUGAGAGAGCGGCGUACGGGUGCGUAACACGUGUGCAACCUGCCUUUAUCUGGGGGAUAGCCUUUCGAAAGGAAGAUUAAUACUCCAUAAUAUAUUGAACGGCAUCGUUUAAUAUUGAAAGCUCCGGCGGAUAGAGAUGGGCACGCGCAAGAUUAGCUAGUUGGUGAGGUAACGGCUCACCAAGGCGAUGAUCUUUAGGGGGCCUGAGAGGGUGAUCCCCCACACUGGUACUGAGACACGGACCAGACUCCUACGGGAGGCAGCAGUGAGGAAUAUUGGUCAAUGGGUGCAAGCCUGAACCAGCCAUCCCGCGUGAAGGACGACUGCCCUAUGGGUUGUAAACUUCUUUUGUAUAGGGAUAAACCUACCCUCGUGAGGGUAGCUGAAGGUACUAUACGAAUAAGCACCGGCUAACUCCGUGCCAGCCGCCGCCGUAACAC
rnacentral:rRNA from 1 species